UAACCCGGGGAUCCUCUAGAGAUUAGCUCACUAUACAUAAUGAGGUUUAUUCCCGAAUAAAAGCAGUUUACGACCCAGAGGGCUGUCUUCCUGCACGCGGCAUGGCUGGUUCAGAGUUGCCUCCAUUGACCAAUAUUCCUUACUGCUGCCUCCCGUAGU
rnacentral:rRNA from 1 species